AAUAGUCUGUGAUGAAUAUAAAGUUAUCCCUGUCAGAUUUAAAUAGUGUUGAGAACUUUAUUCUGAGACUUGG